GUAGGGUAGUAAUUGACAUCCGGAGCUUUUUCCAAAAAGUUUCUGAGGAAAGUCCACCCACUUUAAAAGACAGCUUGGGAAACCAAGGUCGUGAAAAUGGCGGCAACCGCGUCGAAACGAGACCCCCGUACAAAUGGAAUGAUGGAUGCGAAGGGACUGGCGACAGAUCCCCAGUCACUCAAAAACAGAAAUGUUUUUGGUGCACAAAAAAUCAUAUGAUUUUUUAGUGUAACCUCCUGACGUCUUGUACGGAAUGGAUUAAACGGCGAGCCCCUGUUUGUGCAAACCAGUAUGGUGCUUAGUUGAAUGUCAAUAAAAUCUGCUCCUAAUUUAUUGGGAAGAUUUACAUAAGGUGGCUUAUAACUACUCUAC
rnacentral:RNase_P_RNA from 1 species